GGGCUUGUCUCCGAGGGGAGACGUCUGCCUUGCAAGCAGAUGGUUCGGGUGCGACUCCCGACUGGUCCACCG
rnacentral:tRNA from 1 species